AGCCAACACCACGUACCGCACUGGCCGCCAUGACAGUCCCGACAGCGCCAGCAGGUGUAACGAUACAGCGAUACAGCGAUACGUCUCGCGGACACCAACUCUCUGUAUUAUGGGGUGACCACGGAAAACAGUACACAGGACUGACGUCAGAGUUGCGGUUGCCACCACACACCGGAGGUCAGGCGCCACGCGGCAAGUACCUCCCCCGAGGGUAGGAGCCAAUCAGGAGCAAGCGGGGCUCGUGCCACUGGUGGCGGGCGGGGCCUUACUGUGGCCAAGAGGUCAUCCCAACACAGAUACCUAACACACUAGACUGGUUUCCAUGGUUACCUUCUCAGGCCAGCGUCUGGUCUCUCACAAACAAGUUCCUCUAACUGACGUUGUGUACUUCACCUUGGGCACCCCUUUGAGCUAAUGAACUUUGAACUAAAUGUAACACAUGAUUUAAAAAUUAAAGAGCUGUUGAUGUCGGGAAAAGGUGAGCGAGUGAGCAAGUGAGUGAACUGAGUGAGUGAGUGAACUGAGUGAACGAUGACCGACGAAGGGUCGGCGAGGGUAGAGAGCAUUUCAUGAACGCUAAUCUCACAUCUCUUGAGGGCCGAACCCAGUUCGCGAAGAUCGGCGAUCUGUCGAUAUGUACCCGACAGU